AGUUAAGGAGGCGCUGUCCUGGCGUCGGAUGGGGACGGGGAACGCGGCGAGGGCGCUGCGACCUCUGCCCACCUGGCCCGGCCGCAGUCUCGGAGUUCCUGUUCCUCACAGGAGCUAAUUAUUUAUGACAGCUGCAUGGUUCCCCUCCCCCAGUUACUCAGUGCUUGGCACUCGGCACCCCUUACUCAGCACUCAGUACCGCACUCGGCCUCAGGGGACCUGGGCAGAGGGAAGCAGGGAGUCUCCCGCGGAAACUCUUGCUCUGCCAAAGUGUGAUGUGAUCUGACUGCUGCUCAGGGCCUGGACAGCAAAUGAGGAAGACUUAUUGCAGAAAUUCAGAGCCUAGUGACCUGGACCAGGGUGGAGGCAGCAGAGGAGAGAAACAGAUGAUCAAGACUCUGCUAGCAGGAGAAAAAGAGAGAAAAGAGAGAUGAAAAAGUCUUGUGUGACCAGAAGCUUAUCAACCUUGUGUGCUGUUGGCUUACUUUAACAUUUACAGCAGAUGAUAGAAUUGUGUUCAGAUGACACAAUAAGGUAUCAAAUGACUUCACGAAAGCAAGACGGCACUGAACCCCAAGUUUGUGCCUUCAGUCUCUCGCCUCGGCACCUAGGUAAUCCUUUGCCCACAGGACCACACCACCCUCCCCCAGUGAGAGGAACCAGAGUGACGGGAAAGGGAAGCCCCACACAACCAGCACUCGAGGCCCGGCCCACUGGGAGCACUGGGUGGCCUGGCCUGGGAAAGCCCCUUGUGCCCCUUGGGUGGCACCAGCAGGUACCCGUGGGAGCUCCAGCAGCACCAGACAAACCAAGCAGACCCAAGAUAGCACCAUGAAGGCUCUGAACAUCAAAUUGUCACUGGAAGCAUGGCCUGCAGAAGCGGGCCACAAUCCUCACACUAAACCUAAGCAGAGCGACUGGCUGCAAAAAGGAAAGACUUAAAAAAUAGGAUCCAGAGACCUUCCUCUUCCUCAUGAGUUUUCCAAAUCACACUUGAUUGAAACAAAAACGUUAGCACCAUCUGAGACUCAGGACAGUGAUAUUUAUGAGCGGGGAGGGUAAAGGAAGCUCCAUGCUAUAAGUUCCGCACCUCGCUUGAAGUAGGAAAAGGCCACGGCACGCAGGACUCACUGAGUGGCUACCAAAAGAAACCAACGCUGAGCUAUAGCAUGGCAAGCUAAUACUACAUUUUGGAAAAGCACGCAUAUUGAAAUUUGCGUCAUUUGUGCUAUUAUUUGUGCUAUUAUAAAGACCUGACGCCUGGUGGAACCGUGCUUACAAUGUGUGGGUACUUAAACGCGUGUUCUGAAAAACUCCUCUGCUGCUUCUUCCUCUGAUUUCACAUUCGGUAAACCUGCAAGUGCACACAUUUCAUCCCCUUGCAAGACUGUUGUCAGUGCUCAGUAAGUCUACAUUUUACAUAGGAUGAGGUGAUUACAAAGAUGGCACCAUGGAUAAACGACACUACCUGUGUUAGCAGUUGUGACUUUUCCUUCUUUUUUUUUUCUUUUUCUUUUCUUUUCUUUUUCUUUCUUUUUUUUUCUUUCUUUUUUUUUUUGAGAUGGAGUCUCACUCUGUUGUCCAGACUGAAGUACAAUGGCAUGAUCUCAGCUCACUGCAACCUCUCCCUCCUGGGUUCAAGCAAUUCUCCUGCCUCAGCUUCCUGAGUAGCUGGAAUUGCAGGUGCCUGCCACCAUGCCUGGCUAAUUUUCUAUAUUUAGUAGAGACAGGAUUGCGCCAUGUUGGCCAGGCUGGUCUUGAACUCCUGACCUCAGGUGAUCCGCCUGCCUUGGCCUCCUGAAGUGCUGGGAUUACAGGCAUGAGCCACCGUGCCCGGCCAUGACUUUUCAGAUGUUAUCUAAUAAGCCACUAUUCUAAGGGGCAGGCACACAUCCACAUUCGAGUGCCGCCUCUGUUGUCUGCUCUUUAACCAUGUGCUGCCAUCUAAAGAAUGAAUGGAUUCUGCUAAAUUGGCACCAAGAAGUGAAGAUACUGCAGAAAGUGGGAGACUAGAAAAACAGGCCAGGGUCACUAACCAGAAAUGGAGACCAGAGCAGCAGCCCUCCAAAUGGCAGUGUGCUUAAUCAACGCAUAAAUGCUCUAGAUGAACAUUCCAUGACAAAGUAACAUUUAAC
rnacentral:lncRNA from 1 species